AUUGAACGCUGGCGGAAUGCUUUACACAUGCAAGUCGAACGGCAGCACGGACUUCGGUCUGGUGGCGAGUGGCGAACGGGUGAGUAAUAUAUCGGAACGUGCCCAGUCGUGGGGGAUAACGUAGUGAAAAUUACGCUAAUACCGCAUACGAUCUAAGGAUGAAAGCGGGGGAUCGCAAGACCUCGCGCGAUUGGAGCGGCCGAUAUCAGAUUAGGUAGUUGGUGAGGUAAAGGCUCACCAAGCCAACGAUCUGUAGCUGGUCUGAGAGGACGACCAGCCACACUGGAACUGAGACACGGUCCAGACUCCUACGGGAGGCAGCAGUGGGGAAUUUUGGACAAUGGACGCAAGUCUGAUCCAGCCAUUCCGCGUGCAGGACGAAGGCCUUCGGGUUGUAAACUGCUUUUGUACAGAACGAAAAGGUCUCUAUUAAUACUAGGGGCUCAUGACG
rnacentral:rRNA from 1 species